UACGAAGGGGGCUAGCGUUGUUCGGAUUUACUGGGCGUAAAGCGCACGUAGGCGGAUUGCUAAGUCAGGGGUGAAAUCCUGGAGCUCAACUCCAGAACUGCCUUUGAUACUGGCGACCUUGAGUCCGGGAGAGGUGAGUGGAACUGCGAGUGUAGAGGUGAAAUUCGUAGAUAUUCGCAAGAACACCAGUGGCGAAGGCGGCUCACUGGCCCGGUACUGACGCUGAGGUGCGAAAGCGUGGGGAGCAAACAGG
rnacentral:rRNA from 1 species